UGCACUUUUUGUAGGAACGAUGGCCUGUUAUGGACAACGAUGAAAAGCGAUUCGAUGGUUUCCGCCGAUCGGACCACCGCGCACGACCAUGAACGAAUACUCCGUAAGUACCUACCUAACACAGACAAAUUUCUUGGAAUUCAUCUAUUCGUUAGGUUAGCUAUGUAAAAAAAAAAAAAAAAUAUAUCGCGUCUAGUAGAUUUCUGAUUACGGAGUAGUGCAACGAGAGAGACGGACUACGUGACUGUUUUAUGGGAUUACACAGUUAAAUUUACAAACGACGUGGUUCUUGUGCGUGAACGAUUUCCAUCGAAAACGUGCGCAU